rnacentral:piRNA from 4 species
UCCGAGGCGCGAUUAUUGCUAAUUGAAAAC